rnacentral:rRNA from 1 species
UGCCAGCAGCCGCGGUAAUACGGAGGGGGCUAGCGUUGCUCGGAAUUACUGGGCGUAAAGCGCGCGUAGGUGGUUUAGAAAGUUGGAAGUGAAAGCCCAGGGCUUAACCUUGGAACUGCUUUCAAAACUCCUAAACUAGAGAAUGGUAGGGGAUGGCGGAAUUCUUGGUGUAGGGGUGAAAUCCGUAGAUAUCAAGAGGAACAUCAGAGGCGAAGGCGGCCAUCUGGACCAUUUCUGACACUAAGGCGCGAAAGCGUGGGGAGCGAACAGGAUUAGAUA